GGGUCAGUAGGUUGGUCGUGCCACCGGUACGUACUGGUCUCACUGAUUCCUCCUUCCUGAAGAACCGUAAUGCCAUUAAUUUGGUGUUGCGGGGAAACAGGACUGUUACUUUGAAAAAAUUAGAGUGUUUAAAGCAAGCUAACGCUUGAAUACAUUGGCAUGGAAUAAUGAAAUAGGACGAUCGAUCCUAUUUUGUUGGUUCCUAGGAUUGACGUAAUGAUUAAUAGGGAUAGGUUGGG
rnacentral:rRNA from 1 species